GAAACACGCAGGCAGUAAAACGUUAGGAGGACAGGGGGUGCCAGCGUGCAGGAAAUGCUGCUAAGAGACCUUUAGGAGCCAGGGGGAAAACGGAGAGAUUGGCAGUUCCAGGCACCCACAUCCCAGCGCGGUCCGCUCACCCCUUCCUCCCUGGCCUCCAGGCAGCGCUCAGCCCACGGUAGAAAUGUCUUGCAUCUUUUUUCCGACGAGGAAGAAUUGAACUUUUUAUACCCAACUUUUCUGCUUUCUUAGAAAUGUUGACUCACCUGUGAGGAAGCAUUAUUUGAAACUAUUAUUGUAAAUUGCUUGACAUUUGAAUUAGAUGCUGAAAGAUUAAAGGGUCUCAGAAGAAUCUUUUAAGCUAGACUGGAAUUGACUCUGCCUAAAUGGACAGCAACAGUCAUCUAUACGCAGGAAUAAUAAAGCAGGUCCUGAGUGAGCCCCUUUGCUGUGCAGAACAAUGGUGGUACAUACAGGCGAGAACAGAACCCACAGGGUGUCCACCUCACGGCCGACCACAAGAGAUCCUCAAGAGACACAUCUCAGGAAUGAUUCUGAACCUUCUUCACCAAAUAAAAUAUUCCAGAAAUAGUAUUAGA